CACAAAUGUAAUUGAAAUCCUAUGUGUCUGCUCAAAUCCCACUGACCCUACCCUAGGAUUAAGAAGUACUGAACUCUGUGAACUAUGAAAGAAAAACCAUUCACAACACCGUGAGAAGCCAAAAGCAACUGAAAAUGUUUCCAAGUGUGCAGAAUCUUCAGCUUCAAGUCAAACACAGAUGGUUCGUUGCUGUUUCUUUAAUGGGAGCUAAUGAAGAGGAA